GACAGAGGACCCUCCCCAGAGGCGCGCACCUGCCAGUGGCUGCGCACCUGCUAGCGGGCCCGCGCCCAGCGCCCCCUCUUCGUCCUCUCCGCCGUUUGUCUCCGACUGCUGUGGCUGAAGAAACGCGGACAAGCCAAGAGCUUUUCCUAGAGGGAAGUCUUUGAAGUAAGAGAUCCUAGAGUGGCCUUAGGCGACAGUGCCGGGCGAUCCGGUGCUGGCGACGCUGAGUUCCCCGGGAAGUGGAAGCAGAAGGCUCCCCAAGGCCCGGGGCUGGGAUCUCCUAGCUGUGUUGCCGGGUCCCCUCCCAGUCCCGGGCCGCGGUGACAGCUGCGGGGAGCCGGCUGCUGGAGACCCAGCGCUUUGUCUGCAGCCGCGCGUUGGGGACGUGGGCGUGCCGUAGCCUUCGCCUACCGGCCCCGAGGCUGACUGUACGAUCGGGGAGGAGCCGACUCGCUAAGCCCUUGGGAAAGCUCGCAGCCAGCACCCUGGGUUCUCGGGUUGGUUGUUUGCUGAAGAACUGCUUCCUGGAGUCCUGCCUGGCUCAGUGGCCAACGCGGUGACAGCUAACCUUCUGGCGGUAAUAAAAGGUUUAAAUCACCGGAAAGUCCCCCAGGCGCAUGCACCAACCUUCCAGCACUCGGGGUUCACCCUGGGAUCUUGGUGACCUGCAGAGCUGGGCCGACCCUGAUGGGAGCAAGAGGGGACAGGACCCGGUAGGACCCAUCUGCUGCUGCUUUCCAGACUGUGUGAACUGCACGGCUGUCCAAAAGCACAACCUUAACCUGUUUCCGGGAGCGUCUGAGUUCUGGGGACUGGAGCUCUGAGGUCAGGGGCGACGUAAAUGGCUCAGCUUCCUGUUGGCAUCCGCUUCAUCACCUCCUUCUCCAGGGAUCAGUGAUCUCUGGCUGGCCAAGACAUCAGCCCUUCUCUUCUCCAGUCGUGGGCAUCCUAGGGAGACUCUCACUUCUUGGGGUUCGUGGUUUCAAGAGUCUUGUAGUCAGAGACGGGGAAACAUGUUUCUCUUCAGCAUGUCUUCACUCUUGUCAAGCUGGCUGGCCCCCAGGGCUUUGUAGUAAGUACCGCGCCUUCAUUUUCAUGCUGACAUUCCUGCUGUACGCAAGCUUCCACUUGUCCCGAAAGCCUAUCAGCAUAGUGAAGGGCGAGCUCCAUAAGCAGUGCACUGCAGGGGAUGAGCCUGAGCCCAGGUUCGGCGGCCCGAGCAUCAGUACCAGGCAUGGCCCCACCCACUGGCUCCCGGACAACGAGACCGACUGUGGCUGGGCCCCCUUCGAUAAGAACAACUACCAGCAGCUACUUGGAGCCCUGGAUUACUCCUUCCUGUGCGCCUAUGCCAUUGGGAUGUACCUGAGCGGCAUAAUAGGGGAACGCCUGCCCAUUAGGUAUUACCUGACUUUUGGGAUGCUGGCCAGCGGCGCCUUCACAGCCCUCUUCGGCUUGGGCUACUUCUAUAACAUACACAGUUUGGGAUUCUACGUGGUGACCCAGAUCAUUAACGGGCUGGUGCAGACCACAGGCUGGCCCAGCGUCGUCACCUGCCUCAGCAACUGGUUUGGAAAAGGAAGGCGAGGCCUGAUCAUGGGCAUCUGGAACUCCCACACCUCCGUGGGCAACAUUCUGGGAUCCCUGAUUGCCGGCUACUGGGUGUCCACAUGCUGGGGACUGUCAUUCGUCGUGCCCGGGGCCAUCGUGGCAGCCAUGGGGAUAGUGUGCUUCCUCUUUCUCAUUGAACAUCCGAAGGACAUCAAGUGCUCCUCCACCCUGCCCACGCACUCCAAAAUCUCGGAGAACGGCAUAAACAGAUUUAGACUGCAGAAGCAAACCACACACACGGAAAAGAACGUGCCUCUGGACCCCGAGCUGCAGUGUUUACUGCUCUCUGACGGGAAGAGCUCUCUCCACCCGAGCCACAUCGUUGUCCUCCCUGGUGACUGCAGUGGCAGCAUGGCGGCCAUCAGCUUCACGGGAGCCCUGAGGAUCCCGGGCGUGAUUGAGUUCUCUCUGUGCUUGCUGUUUGCCAAGCUGGUCAGCUACACAUUCCUGUUCUGGCUCCCGCUGUACAUCACCAACGUGGACCACCUGGAUGCCAAGCAAGCUGGGGAGCUGUCCACGCUGUUUGACGUGGGCGGGAUCUUUGGCGGCAUCCUGGCAGGAGUGAUCUCCGACCGCCUGGAGAAACGAGCCUCCACCUGUGGUCUGAUGCUGUUGCUGGCGGCACCCACGCUCUACAUCUUCUCCUCCGUCAGCAAAAUGGGACUGGAAGCCACCAUAGCCAUGCUGCUCCUCAGUGGGGCCCUAGUCAGCGGGCCCUAUGCACUGAUCACCACCGCCGUCUCUGCAGACCUGGGCACUCACAAAAGUCUGAAAGGGAACUCUCACGCCCUGUCCACCGUGACCGCCAUCAUUGACGGCACUGGAUCUGUAGGAGCCGCCUUGGGCCCCCUGCUGGCAGGGCUCAUCUCCCCUUCCGGAUGGAGCAACGUGUUCUACAUGCUGAUGUUUGCAGAUGCCUGUGCCUUACUGAGUGCUGGGAUUAAAGGCGUGCGCCGCCACCGCCCAGCGUGGGCCUCCAUCUUGAACUUGGAGCAUCUAAGAGCCAAAACCCGAGGCCUGGUGUGCAGCUGAUGGGGAGCAGUGGUCCCUCAGUCCCUGCACUGCCUGCUUCCUGACUCCAAGCCCCUCUGGAUGAAGGGUGCCUGCUGUCUUUAAGUACCUGCCACCAGAAGCUGAGACUUCUCUCAGGGUUCCCUUCCACUGCUGCCCCAGAACCUGACCGAGGUCUGCUAGCUCCACACCUGCGGCGGGGGUCAGCCCUGAGCUGUGGGUGGCAGCCAGUCAUUACUCUGCUUCGGUGAAAAACUACUCUGAGCCUUUUGACACAUUUAGAGUGUGAAGCUAACCUGGUAAGUCAAUGGCUCUCUGCCUAGCAGUUAGCACUGUGCAGAAGGCCACCAAAGGCGCGCGCUUGCGCGCGCGCACACACACACACACACCAGGCUAGGCUUCCGCGAGGCUCUCUACAAACCACGUAUCCUGAGACACUACCUCAGCCUCCCAGCACCCCGUCUCACGAGCUGCUCACUUCCCCUUCAUUUCCUGCCUUGCUUCCGUCUUUGUGGUCGGGUCGGUUUUGAAGUCUGUGCUAAAAGCCUGUGUUGAGGCAGGCGUCUGGAUCAUCCUGAGGACUUAGUGAGGGGCAGCCCUCACCUCGGGCCAGGUGCUGGCAUUAGUCUCUGACGACAGUGUCUCCACGAGGACAGUGUCUCCACGAGGCGUAAGCCUGUGGGUGCUUCAGAGGGGGAGCCCCUCAGUUCAUCAGGCCACACCUGCCCUCCGCGUCCGUCCUCACACCGUGACAGUAUCUGUUCUCUGUUUUUGGGCGCAGUUCCUGAUCCGCCUCAUCCACAAGGAACUGAGCUGUCCAGGGCCGGCUGCAGGAAUCCAGGCUCCGCUGAAGGAACACUGACCGUGACUCCUGGAGCACUGGGGCCCAUCUUACACACAGCGUCUUUGGAAAAGCAGAAAUGAAGGAUCUUAUUAAACAGGAAGCCUCCUCGCCUUUGCGUAUGCAUCUGGGAGCGACUCACAAGCCACCCCAAGACUUGCUGGACAGACAGACUAUGGAGCUCAGAACGACAGUGGGGAGUCUGCCUGGCUGUGUCCCACUGCCUUAAUGGGCCGAGACCCAGUGGCCCAGCCCGUCCCAGGUGCACAGUACCCGCUAGCCACCGAACUUUAGCCCGUACAGUGACAGGCAGCGCCGGCCUGCAGCACCCAGGCAGCCCUCCCCUCUCAGGUAUCUGUGUAGAAUGUUAUACAGCCUACAGGCCCGGGCCAUCCUGCUCUCCCGUCUCCUGAAUGAGCAGGGUGAAAGGGCAGGACAUGUCACAAACUAGCCAACAGAUAGCACAAGAAAGCCCGAUCCCAGACGGAAACUGAGAUGGAGUCCGCACCCAACCAUCAUGAAGACCCAUGCUCAGAACCAAGCAGGAAACUGGCCAUUUAAAGAUGUGACUGACUGGGAAGCAAUAAGCCCCAACGAGACAGGGCACCAGGAAGGCCAGUCCCAAAGCAUGUGCUGCUGCCCCCUGCAGGACUGGGAGAGCACAGGAGCUGGAGAGGGGACUUCACUGGGUACCAGGAGCAAUGGGUCCCACCCAGCCAUUCCUCAUACCCCAGACACCCGGGCUGUUUCUAGACCCACAGGGAUUAUUUAUUUUCAAUGUAUACUGUGUUAUAUAGAUUUUAAGAGAUAAAUGGGAUUUUGUUAUUUAUUAAGACAAGCUGUGAUUGUUCUGUGGCCAUUUGUUGUCUUGGUUGUAUAUAUCUGCUCUUUGAAAUAAAUGAGUUUUUAUUUAAAAAAAAA